rnacentral:rRNA from 1 species
UACGUAGGGUGCAAGCGUUAAUCGGAAUUACUGGGCGUAAAGCGUGCGCAGGCGGUUUUGUAAGUCUGUCGUGAAAUCCCCGGGCUCAACCUGGGAAUUGCGAUGGAGACUGCAAGGCUAGAAUCUGGCAGAGGGGGGUAGAAUUCCACGUGUAGCAGUGAAAUGCGUAGAGAUGUGGAGGAACACCGAUGGCGAAGGCAGCCUUCUGGGCCAACACUGACGCU